CAGUGCAGGGAGGGCUCAGCUUGGCUCGGCUUGGCUCUUCUGCGGGACGGAGGACUGACGCUCCCCUGCGCUUCUCUCUCGGCUCAGAUCGGCAAGGUUUGACAGUCUCACCCGGCUCUGUCCAGCUAAACCGUCAGCAAGACCUAAAAGACGCAGAGGGAAGGAUUGGCACCGAUGAAAGUGCAUUUUCUUUUUUUCGGACUGAAUGGUAAAAUGACAAACCAAUUAAACAGGCUGUGGACAUCAAUGGAAGACACGUGAUUUAUUGUUCAACGGUGUGGUCUAACUGUUUACAGAUGAAUUUGUUCCAAUAUACAGAAGCCUGAACAAAAUUUGACAUCAGCAACAAAAGUUUGUUCACCAGUUUCGAAGCCCUGCUCAUCAGAAAGCCCGUAAAGUCUGAGAAAAUCGAUCCAAACAAGCCUUAAUUCUGUCAUUAGGUGAGAGGGAGCCGUGGGCUGAUUGGCUGCCCGUCUGCUCCAUAUUCAGAGGUGCUGGAUGAGGCAGAGGGCCUGCUGGGUAAAAUGCUGCUGUAAUCAGGAGCCGGCUGUGCUGCCUGAUCAGGUAUGAAGUCUGCUUCCACCUUCCUCAAAAUCCCUCCUCAUCUUCCUCUCGUCUCACUGG
ensembl:processed_transcript